GACGAACGCUGGCGGCGUGCCUAAUACAUGCAAGUCGAGCGGACUUUCAAGAAGCUUGCUUUUUGAAAGUUAGCGGCGGACGGGUGAGUAACACGUGGGCAACCUGCCUGUAAGACGGGGAUAACUCCGGGAAACCGGGGCUAAUACCGGAUAAUAUCUUUCUUCGCAUGAAGGAAGGUUGAAAGGCGGCGCAAGCUGCCGCUUGCAGAUGGGCCCGCGGCGCAUUAGCUAGUUGGUGAGGUAACGGCUCACCAAGGCGACGAUGCGUAGCCGACCUGGGAGGGUGAUCGGCCACACUGGGACGGAGACACGGCCCAGACUCCUACGGGAGGCAGCAGUAGGGAAUCUUCCGCAAUGGACGAAAGUCUGACGGAGCAACGCCGCGUGAGCGAAGAAGGUCUUCGGAUCGUAAAGCUCUGUUGUCAGGGAAGAACGAGUACCGUUCGAAUAGGGCGGUACCUUGACGGUACCUGACCAGAAAGCCACGGCUAACUACGUGCCAGCCGCCGCGGUAA
rnacentral:rRNA from 1 species